rnacentral:lncRNA from 1 species
CAUCUGUAUCUUUCAAACUCUGACUGCAAGUGAAAACCAAACAGCUCACGGUGUGAGGGGAGUGUGAACCCUAGAUUCUUGGUUAAGGUCCACCACGCUGCCUGUACCCCCACCAUCCCCACCCACUUCACCCUAACUCUACUCCACGACCUUUGGAGCUGUACCUGUCCCAUGAUCAGGUGAGCUUAAACCAAACCAUGUGUUGUAUCUGGGGCAUGAUUUUCAUCCAUCCUGUUUCCUGUAAGUCUACAGAGACCAGGAAGUGAUGCUUUCGCCAGCUUCUCCACCCAUGAACACUGCUGAUUGCUGCUAGUGACACUCACCAGGAAGAAGACCUUAGUGACUGGAACCAGUACGCUGGAGAAUCUUGCUGCAAGUGGGAGACUUUUCAUUAAAAUGCUUCGUCAGUGCUUCCUCCAAGUUUCUGUUCCCCAGAGAUGCUUCCCUGCCAGGACCUUACAGAGAGAGCAGAAGAAAUAGUGGAGAGAGAAAGAGGAGGACAGAUGAGGCAUGGGUGGACUGUAAGACGGCGAGGAAGAUGGAGGGAUAGACGGAGAAGAGACAGGAGUGUCUGCGCUCAGCCCCGUUUCUGCUUCACAUGACCUUCAUUCAAGAGGGAAGCGGAGUCUUCCAGUGGAAUGAUGUCAUCUCUGAAUAAAACAUGCUGGAGUAGAGCA